rnacentral:lncRNA from 1 species
AGUAGUCAAGCUGUGUGUACCAGGGUGAAAACAGAAGAUUUUGUUUGCUAUGAAGGUGAUUGCAGAAGUGGUGAGAACAGAUAAAAAAGCGAAAGCUCCAAGGGGUAGAGCUCUUGGUACGUAUUAAGCAGGAAUGGGUACUGAUAGAUGGUUUACAGAUAGAAAUCACUAUGUGAGGGUUGAGAGCUGAUUUCAGGCCAACUUACAGUUUUGUGGAAAGCUUGUCACAGGCAUUAAUGCACAGGCUGCAACUGGUCUCAAAAAUUGGCGAUCCUGUGCAGGAGGGAUUGGUGGAAGUAUCUGUGUUUGGCUUCUUCUUUGGUCUUUUUAUGCUGUCUGAGGCUGAGCAAAACAAUUGGAUAGUGCAAUGCUGAAGACCUUAAUUACACUAUUGUGCUGUGGUGUUCUCUUCCUCCCUAUGCCAGCCUGGUCUGUAAAAGCUGAGAGAUACACGACUGUAGAGAUGCUAUCCUGACUGAAGGAGUGAACCUGUUCUGCAGCAUCUGGGCUCUAGCCACACAAGUAGGAAUGGUAUGAGAGGACUCUGGUGACUAAGACUAAGCAAAUGUUUCAUGAGAGAUGCCUUAGCCCUGAGAGCAGUCCAUGGCCAGAGGAAGCCUGAAGACUAUGUAUGGCACAACAACAUAAAAGAAGGCAAGAUGACCACUUGUGGAGAAAAGAUAAGUCUAGUAGGAGUUCCAGCAGCCUUUGGAGGAACUGUCCAUUCUGCCAUCAAACUCAAGCAGUCUUCACUAGUCAUUCACUUUAAAAGAUGUAUAUCAUGGCCAGCAAAAACCCCUUGAAACUCUUUUGUCAUCUGAAUCAUAUUUUUUCAUUGACAAAUCCUAACAACAAGAAGAGAAACUGUCACGGCUAGGAGAUCAAACCUUUGAAUUGUCAUAUCUGACAAAGGACGGAAAGCAGGAUAUUAGCCAUUUUGUCUUUCACCCAAGCCAGAACUUCCUAUCUUCAGGUGAGGGUGCAAAAAUAAAGCUGUUUCCUUCAGGUUUCA